rfam:Gasterosteus aculeatus cont1.010366, whole genome shotgun sequence.
UUAAAAAUGCAAUGUAAGUUGCUUUGGAUAAAAGCAUCAGCUAAAUGACAUAUA